UAGCAUAUGUGUGUGUACGUAUAUGGGUUUGUGUGUGUGUGUCUGUUAAAAUGAGUGUCUGUUUCUAAAGGCCUCUGAACACUCAGGGUGCACAAACACACACACAUCUGUCUGGUUUCACUGUGUGUCUUUUUUGUUUUUCUCCCGUUGCUGCUGAUUUUCUCUCACUGACUCUUUUUUUCUGCAUUUCAUCAUCAGCAGAAUGUCUGCGAUUUCCUGAAGUGUCUCGGCCUCUGAGAUGUUCUUCACACCUCUCUCCCCCGCCGUCACUUCUUCUGCUUCCCUCGCUCUUGCUCUCGCCGUCGCCUCAGAGACGGCAUUAGCGGAGAGUGCCAGGUUUUCACACAGUGCUCCUUUCUCUCUCUCUUCCGCCACCCGCCCGUCACCUUCCUGUCUGUCUUCCUCUGCGCCAAGCACUGAAGGCUGCUCUCUUCUCACCUCUGCAGGAGAACAGAGACAGGGGGACAAGACAGAGACAAGACAAAAUGGCAAACGUGAGAAAGUAAAGAGGGAAAGAGACAUGAAGGGACGACAUGUGGUAAACACAAGAGACAUGAAGGGACAACAUGUGACAUGAAGGGACAACAUGUGGUAAACACAAGAGAUAUGAAGGGACAACAUGUGACAUGAAGGGACAACAUGUGGUAAACACAAGAGACAUGAAGGGACAACAUGUGGUAAACACAAGAGACAUGAAGGGACAGUGAGAAGAGAAAGAGUAAAAAAGAGACAAACCUAAGAAAGUCAAAGGG
ensembl:lncRNA